rnacentral:rRNA from 1 species
AGUGAACGCUGGCGGCAGGCCUAACACAUGCGAGUCGAGCGGCAGCGGGUCCUUCGGGCUGCCGGCGAGCGGCGGACGGGUGAGGAAUACAUCGGAAUCUGCCCUGUCGUGGGGGAUAACCUAGGGAAACUUAGGCUAAUACCGCAUACGACCUACGGGUGAAAGCGGGGGAUCGCAAGACCUCGCGCGACAGGAUGAGCCGAUGUCCGAUUAGCUAGUUGGCGGGGUAAAGGCCCACCAAGGCGACGAUCGGUAGCUGGUCUGAGAGGAUGAUCAGCCACACUGGGACUGAGACACGGCCCAGACUCCUACGGGAGGCAGCAGUGGGGAAUAUUGGACAAUGGGCGCAAGCCUGAUCCAGCCAUGCCGCGUGGGUGAAGAAGGCCUUCGGGUUGUAAAGCCCUUUUGUCCGGGAAGAAAUCGUCUGGGCUAAUACCCCGGGCGGAUGACGGUACCGGAAGAAUAAGCACCGGCUAACUUCGUG